rnacentral:rRNA from 1 species
GCUGCCGGGAUGGUCUAGCCAUGCGAGUCAUUGUAGCAUACAAGGCGGACGGCUCAGUAACACGUAGUCAACCUAACUCGUGGACGUGGAUAACCUCGGGAAACUGAGAAUAAACCACGAUAGAUCAUAGUGCCUGGAAUGGCUUAUGGUCCAAACAGUUUACUGCCAUGGGAUGGGACUGCGGCCUAUCAGCUUGUUGGUGAGGUAAUGGCCCACCAAGGCGAUUACAGGUACGGGCUCUGAGAGGAGAAGCCCGGAGAUGGGUACUGAGACACGGACCCAGGCCCUAUGGGGCGCAGCAGGCGAGAAACCUUAGCAAUGUGCGAAAGCACGACUGGGUCAGUCCGAGUGAUUCCUGAUAAAGGAGUCUUUUGCUUGUCCUAAAAGCACAGGUGAAUAAGGGGUGGGCAAGUCUGGUGUCAGCCGCCGCGGUAAUACCAGCACCUCGAGUGGUCAGGACGUUUAUUGGGCCUAAAGCAUCCGUAGCCGGCUCUGCAAGUCUUCGGUUAAAUCCACCUGCUCAACAGAUGGGCUGCUGGAGAUACUACAGAGCUAGGGAGUGGGAGAGGCAGACGGUAUUCAGUGGUAGGGGUAAAAUCCUCUGAUCCAUUGAGGACCACCAGUGGCGAAGGCGGUCUGCCAGAACACGUUCGACGGUGAGUGAUGAAAGCUGGGGGAGCAAACCGGGAUUAGAUACCCGGGUAGUCCCAGCUGUAAACGAUGCAAACUCGGUGAUGCAUUGCUUAUGGCCAAUGCAGUGCCGCAGGGAAGCCGUUAAGUUUGCCGCCUGGGAAGUACGGACGC